UACAGAGGGGGCAAGCGUUGUUCGGAAUUACUGGGCGUAAAGGGCGCGUAGGCGGCCCGCUAAGUCGAACGUGAAAUCCCCGGGCUCAACCCGGGAACUGCGUCCGAUACUGGUGGGCUCGAAUCCGGGAGAGGGAUGCGGAAUUCCAGGUGUAGCGGUGAAAUGCGUAGAUAUCUGGAGGAACACCGGUGGCGAAGGCGGCAUCCUGGACCGAGAUUGACGCUGAGGCGCGAAAGCCAGGGGAGCAAACGGG
rnacentral:rRNA from 1 species